AGGGCACACGGUGGAUGUCUUGGCAUCGAGAGGCGAUGAAGGACGCUGGAACCUGCGAUAAGCCCAGGGGAGUUGGUAACCGAGCUGUGAUCCUGGGAUUUCCGAAUGGGGCAACCCACCCGCAAGGGUACCUCACUCUGAAUGCAUAGGGGUGAGGAGCGAACGUAGGGGAAGUGAAACAUCUCAGUACCUACAGGAAAGGAAAGCAACAGCGACUCCGCAAGUAGCGGCGAGCGAACGCGGAUCAGCCGGUAGAUGAGCGAAGCGUUUGAAUGACGCGCCGAAGAAGGUGAAAGCCCUGUAGCCGGAAACCGGUGAGGCCACGAGUAAAUUCGGGCUCGGGAAACCCGGAUUGAACAUGGGGGGUCCGACCCUCCAAGCCUAAGUACUCCUCGAUGACCGAUAGCGAAUCAGUAAGGCG
rnacentral:rRNA from 1 species